rnacentral:rRNA from 1 species
GCGAGGAAUCUUCCACAAUGGGCGCAAGCCCGAUGGAGCAACGCCGCGUGGAGGACGACGGCCUUCGGGUUGUAAACUCCUUUCGGGAGGGAUGAAACGGACAGUACCUCCAAAAGAAGCCCCGGCUAACCCUGUGCCAGCAGCCGCGGUAAUACAGGGGGGGCAAGCGUUGUCCGGAAUUACUGGGCGUACAGCGCGCGCAGGCGGUUCAUCACGUGCCGUGUGACAGACGUCGGCUUAACCGACGUAGGCCAGGGUACACGGAUGAACUGGAGGCAGAGAGAGGGAUGUGGAAUACCCGGUGGAGCGGUGAAAUGCGUAGAGAUCGGGUGGAACACCAGGGGCGAAGGCGGCAUCCUGGCUCUGUACUGACGCUGAGGCGCGAGAGCGUGGGGAGCAAACCGGAUUAGAUACCCCAGUAGUCC